rnacentral:lncRNA from 10 species
AUGGAAUCUGGUGGCUUAAACCUAGCUGUCCACAUUUCACUAUCUGAAGAGCAGAAAAUGUGUUAAUAGGAGCCUGGUGAGUGGAGGAGACUGAAGAUGGAGAGAGAGCCUGGACCUCAACAUGAGCAUCUGGAGCCAUUUGGCAGCAUUAGGCUGUGACCGCUUAGAGAACCGAAAGGUGCAGAGCUUUAAAGGAUUAUGGAGUCUGAAGACCAAAUGGGAUGAUGGAGAACAGCUAUUCAGUGGUACAAAUGUAAAUGCUCCCAGGCCCGGGCAGAAGACAGAGAUGAAGAAAAGAAGGAAGUGGAGGCAAUGAGGAAAGGAGGGAAGAAGGAAGGAAGGAAAUCAUGCUUGAAAGAAGUUGUGGAACAUGUCAAGUUUUUUUCCGGAUGUGGCGGAGAUUAUGCAGCUACAAUGAAGCCAGAUUAAGAUUUCAGGAAAAUGGACAGAUCUCUACAAUGUUCUCCAAAGAGAUUGUUUUGCUUGCCAAUAAAAAGAGACACCUGGGAGCACCAUACUCUCUCCUGUUCCUCUGGGUAUCAUAUUUCCUUAUGACACCUGAAACUCUGAUGCCUUCUGGGUCCAUGAAAGCAGUGAGAUGAGCACAGGAAACCACGCUGAGGAUGGUUGAGCAAAAAGGUGACAUUGAGCCACUGGAUUAACCUGCCCAGAAACAGGAUAUCUUCAGAUUUCUUGUUAAGUAAGAAAAUGUAAUUUUGUUGAUUCUAAGUUACACUUUCUUUUGUUAGUUCAACAUCUCUGAAAUCAGAACAUAUUUUGCCAUGGUAAUAUCUUACCAUCACUGUAAUAUGUAAUAUCCUUACAUAGGUGUCAUUGCCUAUGCAUGUGUCAACUUGAUUGCUAUUCUCUGUGAUAUGACUGACAACUGCAGCCCUUUGACAGUUCAGUCGACAAACCAUUGAAGAUUAUUAGGGUAAGAAAUACUGCUUUCUGUCUGAAAACUUUCCAAUGACAUCUUCUGAAAAGACAAAGAAAGUAUCAGCAUCAAAAUUUGCGUAAUAGGCCGGGCGCGGUGGCUCACGCCUGUAAUCCCAGCACUUUGGGAGGCCGAGGCGGGCGGAUCACGAGGUCAGGAGAUCGAGACCAU